rnacentral:rRNA from 1 species
CCUACGGGAGGCAGCAGUGGGGAAUAUUGGACAAUGGGGGCAACCCUGAUCCAGCCAUGCCGCGUGUGUGAAGAAGGCCCUCGGGUUGUAAAGCACUUUCAGUGAGGAAGAACGCCUGGUGGUUAAUACCCAUCAGGAAAGACAUCACUCACAGAAGAAGCACCGGCUAACUCCGUGCCAGCAGCCGCGGUAAUACGGAGGGUGCGAGCGUUAAUCGGAAUUACUGGGCGUAAAGCGCGCGUAGGUGGCUUGAUAAGCCGGUUGUGAAAGCCCCGGGCUCAACCUGGGAACGGCAUCCGGAACUGUUAAGCUAGAGUGCAGGAGAGGAAGGUAGAAUUCCCGGUGUAGCGGUGAAAUGCGUAGAGAUCGGGAGGAAUACCAGUGGCGAAGGCGGCCUUCUGGACUGACACUGACACUGAGGUGCGAAAGCGUGGGUAGCAAACAGGAUUAGAUACCCCAGUAGUC